UACGUAGGGUGCGAGCGUUGUCCGGAAUUAUUGGGCGUAAAGGGCUCGUAGGCGGUUUGUCGCGUCGGGAGUGAAAACACACAGCUUAACUGUGUGCUUGCUUCCGAUACGGGCAGACUAGAGGUAUGCAGGGGAGAACGGAAUUCCUGGUGUAGCGGUGAAAUGCGCAGAUAUCAGGAGGAACACCGGUGGCGAAGGCGGGUCUCUGGGCCGUAACUGACGCUGAGGAGCGAAAGCAUGGGGAGCGAACAGG
rnacentral:rRNA from 1 species